rnacentral:rRNA from 1 species
AGCGACCGGCAAACGGUGCGGAACACGUACGCAACUUACCCAAAACUGGUGAAUAGCCCUCCGAAAGGAGGAUUAAUACACCGUAACCUAUUGAGAUGGCAUCAUUUUAAUAGUAUAGCUCCGGCGGUUUUGGAUGGGCGUGCGGCUGAUUAGGUAGUUGGUAGAGGUAACGGCUCACCAAGCCUUCGAUCAGUAACUGGUGUGAGAGCACGACCAGUCACACGGGCACUGAGACACGGGCCCGACUCCUACG